UUAAACACAUUUGUUCCAAAUUGUUCCCGUUUCACAGCCGGUUCCAGCUAAAGCAUCAGCUGAGGCGUCUAAUGAGGAGAAACGCUUCAUCUCUACCUCCUCAGACGCUGAGGGAACAUCUGAACCCACUCAGGGCGCGUCUGACCCGGUUGAUUCCUCUCAGUCUAAGACUGAGCCACAGGUCUCUGAUCAGGUUGAGGUUUCUGACUCUGUGUGCGAGCAGGAGGAAGAGGAGGAUCAACAUGGUGGUGAUGAGGAGGAGCAGGAACCACAGGUUGUCAUUAACUCCCCUAAGGUCCUAAAGGAACCGUCUGCAUCUGAACAAAUCAAUGCUGUUCAAGAAGCCACAGUUUGCUCCUCUCAGGAGUCAAAUGCAGCCAAGCUCCAGGAGGAGGAGGAGGA